UGAGGAAUAUUGCACAAUGGGCGCAAGCCUGAUGCAGCGACGCCGCGUGGGUGAUGAAGGUCUUCGGAUCGUAAAGCCCUUUUCUGCGUGACGAGACAGGACGGUAGCGCAGGAAUAAGUCUCGGCUAACUACGUGCCAGCAGCCGCGGUAAAACGUAGGAGACGAACGUUAUCCGGAGUUACUGGGCGUAAAGGGCGUGUAGGCGGUUUGUUAAGUCUGGCGUGAAAGCUCUCGGCUAAACCGGGAGAGGUCGUUGGAUACUGGCGAACUAGAGGAUGGUAGAGGCGUGUGGAAUUCCGGGUGUAGUGGUGAAAUGCGUAGAGAUCCGGAGGAACACCAGUGGCGAAGGCGACACGCUGGGCCAUACUUGACGCUAAAGCGCGACAGCAUGGGGAGCAAACGGGAUUAGAUACCCUCGUAGUCCCUGAGCGGGCUGGCAAGGCGCAU
rnacentral:rRNA from 1 species